rnacentral:rRNA from 1 species
CGAACGGGUGCGUAACACGUGAGCAACCUGCCGAUCUGAGGGGGAUAGCCGGCCCAACGGCCGGGUAAUACCGCAUACGUUCAUUUCAGGACAUCCUGAGGUGAAGAAACCUCCGGGGCAGAUCGAGGGGCUCGCGGCCUAUCAGCUAGUUGGUGUGGGUAACGGCCCACCAAGGCUUAGAUCGGUAGCCGGCCUGAGAGGGCGCACGGCCACACUGGAACUGAAACACGGUCCAG